GAACGCUGGCGGCAGGCCUAACACAUGCAAGUCGAGCGGCAGCGGGAAAGUAGCUUGCUACUUUUGCCGGCGAGCGGCGGACGGGUGAGUAAUGCCUGGGAAAUUGCCCAGUCGAGGGGGAUAACAGUUGGAAACGACUGCUAAUACCGCAUACGCCCUACGGGGGAAAGCAGGGGACCUUCGGGCCUUGCGCGAUUGGAUAUGCCCAGGUGGGAUUAGCUUGUUGGUAGGGUAAAGGCCUACCAAGGCGACGAUCUGUAGCGGGUCUGAGAGGAUGAUCCGCCACACUGGGACUGAGACACGGCCCAGACUCCUACGGGAGGCAGCAGUGGGGAAUUUUGGACAAUGGGCGAAAGCCUGAUCCAGCCAUGCCGCGUGAGUGAAGAAGGCCUUCGGGUUGUAAAGCUCUUUCGGCUGGGAAGAAAUCGCACAGGCUAAUACUCUGUGUGGAUGACGGUACCAGCACAAGAAGCACCGGCUAACUACGUG
rnacentral:rRNA from 1 species